rnacentral:rRNA from 1 species
GAUGAACGCUGGCGGCGUGCCUAAUACAUGCAAGUCGAGCGAACAGACGAGGAGCUUGCUCCUCUGACGUUAGCGGCGGACGGGUGAGUAACACGUGGAUAACCUACCUAUAAGACUGGGAUAACUUCGGGAAACCGGAGCUAAUACCGGAUAAUAUAUUGAACCGCAUGGUUCAAUAGUGAAAGACGGUUUUGCUGUCACUUAUAGAUGGAUCCGCGCCGCAUUAGCUAGUUGGUAAGGUAACGGCUUACCAAGGCAACGAUGCGUAGCCGACCUGAGAGGGGGAUCGGCCACACUGGAACUGAGACACGGUCCAGACUCCGACGGGAGGCAGAAGUAGGGAAUCUGCCGCAAUGGGCGAAAGCCUGACGGAGCAACGCCGCGUGAGUGAUGAAGGUCUUCGGAUCGUAAAACGCUGUUAUUAGGGAAGAACAAAUGUGUAAGUAACUAUGCACGUCUGGACGGUACCUAAUCAGAAAGCCACGGCUAACUACGU